AUUGAACGCUGGCGGCAGGCCUAACACAUGCAAGUCGAGCGGAAACGAGUUAUCUAAACCUUCGGGGAACGAUAACGGCGUCGAGCGGCGGACGGGUGAGUAAUGCCUAGGAAAUUGCCCUGAUGUGGGGGAUAACCAUUGGAAACGAUGGCUAAUACCGCAUGAUGCCUACGGGCCAAAGAGGGGGACCUUCGGGCCUCUCGCGUCAGGAUAUGCCUAGGUGGGAUUAGCUAGUUGGUGAGGUAAGGGCUCACCAAGGCAACGAUCCCUAGCUGGUCUGAGAGGAUGAUCAGCCACACUGGAACUGAGACACGGUCCAGACUCCUACGGGAGGCAGCAGUGGGGAAUAUUGCACAAUGGGCGCAGGCCUGAUGCAGCCAUGCCGCGUGUGUGAAGAAGGCCUUCGGGUUGUAAAGCACUUUCAGUCGUGAGGAAGGUAGUGUGUUUAAUAGAUGCAUUAUUUGACGUUAGCGACAGAAGAAGCACCGGCUAACUCCGUGCCAGCAGCCGCGGUAAUACGGAGGGUGCGAGCGUUAAUCGGAAUUACUGGGCGUAAAGCGCAUGCAGGUGGUUUGUUAAGUCAGAUGUGAAAGCCCGGGGCUCAACCUCGGAAUAGCAUUUGAAACUGGCAGACUAGAGUACUGUAGAGGGGGGUAGAAUUUCAGGUGUAGCGGUGAAAUGCGUAGAGAUCUGAAGGAAUACCGGUGGCGAAGGCGGCCCCCUGGACAGAUACUGACACUCAGAUGCGAAAGCGUGGGGAGCAAACAGG
rnacentral:rRNA from 1 species